rnacentral:rRNA from 1 species
UUAGGAAUAUUGCGCAAUGGGUGAAAGCCUGACGCAGCGACGCCGCGUGGACGAUGAAGGCCUUCGGGUUGUAAAGUCCUUUUAAUUGGGAAGAUUAUGACUGUACCAGUUGAAUAAGUCACGGCUAACUACGUGCCAGCAGCCGCGGUAAUACGUAGGUGGCUAGCGUUAUCCGGAAUUACUGGGCGUAAAGAGUGUGUAGGCGGUAUCUUAAGUCAGAUGUAAAAUCUAUGGGCUCAACCCAUAGCCUGCUUCUGAAACUGGGAUACUUGAGGCCGGAAGAGGCAAGCGGAAUUUGCGGUGUAGCGGUAAUAUGCGUAGAUAUCGUGAAGAACACCAAUGGCGAAGGCAGCUUGCUGGGCCGGUCCUGACGCUGAGACACGAAAGCGUGGGGAGCGAACGGG